rnacentral:rRNA from 1 species
GUCUGGGAAACUGCCCGAUGGAGGGGGAUAACUACUGGAAACGGUAGCUAAUACCGCAUAACGUCGCAAGACCAAAGAGGGGGACCUUAGGGCCUCUUGCCAUCGGAUGUGCCCAGAUGGGAUUAGCUAGUAGGUGGGGUAACGGCUCACCUAGGCGACGAUCCCUAGCUGGUCUGAGAGGAUGACCAGCCACACUGGAACUGAGACACGGUCCAGACUCCUACGGGAGGCAGCAGUGGGGAAUAUUGCACAAUGGGCGCAAGCCUGAUGCAGCCAUGCCGCGUGUAUGAAGAAGGCCUUCGGGUUGUAAAGUACUUUCAGCGGGGAGGAAGGGAGUAAAGUUAAUACCUUUGCUCAUUGACGUUACCCGCAGAAGAAGCACCGGCUAACUCCGUGCCAGCAGCCGCGGUAAUACGGAGGGUGCAAGCGUUAAUCGGAAUUACUGGGCGUAAAGCGCACGCAGGCGGUUUGU